UGGUGGCCGGGGAGCACAGAACAGAUCCGCUGAACGAACUAAAGACCGUGACGGCGAAAGUGAGAGACACCGUAGUAUGGCUGCGUCUUUCUUUGACUCAGGCUCAGAGGGGAUGUAAGAUGACUGCAGAUCUGAACUGGGUGUUUUUUCUUGGUGAUCACAAUUCAAAAUAGCAACCAGCACGGGAGACUUGGAGGCUCCUCGGAGAGGGAGCAGCGUCCAUCACUGAGGUGCUGUGAACCAGCCUCUGUCUCAUAAACUCCUCCGAGGACCAGCUGUGCAUCCUACACAAAACACUGGCAACCCAGUGUCCUACAAGUUAUCUCCAAAGGGUUGGUGAUACACAAGAUACCUGCCCUGAAGGUGGAGGGAGCACCUGGCACCGAUGGGGACAGCAUGAAGAACUACUUCUCCCCUGCAUCUCUGACUACCAGAAGUUGUGGACGGGUCCCCUUAAACUGACUUGCUUUGAAAUGAACAUUUAAUUACUUACUAACCACCCUCCACCCUGGCCCCCAAAACCCAAGACGAAGCAAAGCAACAGACAGUGGUCAAUUCAACAUCUACACCAUUGCUAUCAGACCAGUGUCAUCUGCUUUAGGGGUGAGCAACAGAAACACACGUAGCUUGUAGGGCUUGUUUCAAAGAGUCUGGACACGUGCUUAGAAAUACCUCCUAACAAUAAAGAUGAUCUUGAAAUGGCUCUGCAGGUCUGCGACAGGUGGGAGCAUUUAAGAUAAAGGGCCAAGGACCAGAAGGUGCAGGCAAGGAGUUCCCGGGGCCUUUAGGAACUCAGGCAAGUAUCCAGAAGUGAGGCUUUUCCGUGGUCUAUGAAAUGAAGGAAUGGGAUAUAUUUGGAAUUUGGAAGGCAGUCUGAAAAGAAACAAUUGCUGGAUUUGGCAGAAGAUUAAGUAAAAAGGCAAUACUAUGUGCUGGGCACAGGGCCUUGGCGUGCUUUCCGUAAUCACAUUUAAUCCUCCCAAUAACCUUGGAGAAAGACGUGUUUGUAUCUAUUUUACAAGACAGAAGACAGGCGCUUAGAAAUCAGCCCUAUCCAUGGCCAACUAUUAAAUGGGAGUGCCAGCAUUCAAACCUGGGACGAACGAACCACAGAUUAUUUUUGAUGUUGCUCCUGUGAAACUGUGGUCCACCAGUGACAAAGAAGCAUAAGGAAAGAUUGCAAAAAAAAAAAAAAAAAGAGGAACAACUUUAUCUUUUCUAAUUCAGUUGGUGAAAGAGAAAUUCAAUUUAUGAUGCAUGUAAAUAUCAGGUUUGGGGAGGGGUAGGUUUACUAGAUUAAAAAAAAAAUCUGUGUAUAUACAGUUCAGUGCUGUCCAACAGCAAUAAAAAGCGAGACACA